rnacentral:rRNA from 1 species
UCAUAGUACGUGAAACCGUUCAGGGGUAAACCUGAGAAAUCCGAAAGAUCGAAUGGGGACAUUCAGUGCGUUUCGCCUGGCGGCGAGCUCAGGUCGCGAGACGUUCGGGCGUUCGCGCUCGUUCGCUCCGGCCGAAGCCGUUAGCCGCCGGCGCACGCGUGCACUUCUCCCCUAGUAGGACGUCGCGACCCGUUGGGUGCCGGUCUAAGGUCCGCGGUGGAGACCGCCGGGGCACGGUUCAUCCCGUGUCCUUGGCGGACCCGCGGUUUCCCGACCGGCCCGCUCGACGGUAUGACGAUGGCGUAGGGCCGCGAUAGUUCGCGCCCGGCCCGCCGCAAGCUCGACCGUUCGCCCGACUAUCGGACCUGUGUGCCGACACCGGGCACGGGCGGCUGCUGGCGGCGGUGUCCUCGGGCGGGCCCCGAUACACGCCCGUCGGCGACGCUCUAGCUUUGGAUACUUUCAGGACCCGUCUUGAAACACGGACCAAGGAGUCUAGCAUGUGCGCGAGUCAUUGGGACUCUGAUAAACCUAAAGGCGAAAUGAAAGUGAAGGCCGCCUUGCGCGUGCCGAGGGAGGACCGGCCGGGCGACAGCCCGCGCCGUGCACUCCCGGGGCGUCUUCCGACUCAUCGCGAGUUGAGGCGCACCCAGAGCGUACACGCUGGGACCCGAAAGAUGG